AUUGAACGCUGGCGGCAGGCCUAACACAUGCAAGUCGAACGGUAACAGGGAUCAGCUUGCUGAGUCGCUGACGAGUGGCGGACGGGUGAGUAAUGUCUGGUAAACUGCCUGAUGGAGGGGGAUAACUACUGGAAACGGUAGCUAAUACCGCAUAACGUCGCAAGACCAAAGAGGGGGACCUUCGGGCCUCUUGCCAUCGGAUGUGCCCAGAUGGGAUUAGCUAGUAGGUUGGGUGACGGCACACCGAGGCGACGAUCCCUAGCUGCUCUGAGAGGAUGACCAGCCACGCUGGAGCUGAGAGACGAUCCAGACUCCUACGGGUGGCAGAAGUGGGGAACACUGCCAGAUGGGCGCAAGCCUGAUGCAGCCAUGCCGCGUGUAUGCAGAAGGCCUUCGGGUUGUAUAGUACUUUCAGCGGGGAGGAAGGUAGUAAAGUUAAUCCCUUUGCUAAUUGACGUUACCCGCAGAAGAAGCCCCGGCUAACUCCGUG
rnacentral:rRNA from 1 species